GAUGAACGCUGGCGGCGUGCUUAACACAUGCAAGUCGAACGGGAAUUAUUUUAUUGAAACUUCGGUCGAUUUAAUUUAAUUCUAGUGGCGGACGGGUGAGUAACGCGUGGGUAACCUGCCUUAUACAGGGGGAUAACAGUCAGAAAUGGCUGCUAAUACCGCAUAAGCGCACAGAGCUGCAUGGCUCAGUGUGAAAAACUCCGGUGGUAUAAGAUGGACCCGCGUUGGAUUAGCUGGUUGGUGGGGUAACGGCCCACCAAGGCGACGAUCCAUAGCCGGCCUGAGAGGGUGAACGGCCACAUUGGGACUGAGACACGGCCCAGACUCCUACGGGAGGCAGCAGUGGGGAAUAUUGCACAAUGGGGGAAACCCUGAUGCAGCGACACCGCGUGAAGGAAGAAGUAUCUCGGUAUGUAAACUUCUAUCAGCAGGGAAGAUAGUGACGGUACCUGACUAAGAAGCCCCGGCUAACUACGUG
rnacentral:rRNA from 1 species